CUGGGUUGAUAGGGGGUAGGGGGUUUGUCUGUUAAUAAUUUUUUUACUCCAAAUCGGAUCGGACUGGCCCGGUAACAUGAACAGUACCGUGAACCGGUAUAGCCCGGCCCGGUUCAACGGUAACUUUUUUUUUAUUUUUUAUUUUAAUUUUUUGAAAUGGUGGGGCCCACAUUUCCGUUGGCCAACGGCUAAUUUACAAAAAUGGCCAUUUUUUCAUUAUUUUUUUGUAUUUAUUAAUUUGCAAUAUUAACCCUUCUUAAAAUCUAUAAA
rnacentral:lncRNA from 1 species